rnacentral:rRNA from 1 species
UACGAAGGGGGCUAGCGUUGCUCGGAAUCACUGGGCGUAAAGCGCACGUAGGCGGAUUGUUAAGUCAGGGGUGAAAUCCUGGAGCUCAACUCCAGAACUGUCUUUGAUACUGGCGAUCUUGAGUCCGGGAGAGGUGAGUGGAAUUCCGAGUGUAGAGGUGAAAAUUCGUAGAUAUUCGGAAGAACACCAGUGGCGAAGGCGGCUCACUGGACGACUGUUGACGCUGAGGUGCGAAAAGCGUGGGGAGCAAACAGGG